rnacentral:rRNA from 1 species
AACGAACGCUGGCGGCAUGCCUAACACAUGCAAGUCGAACGAAGCCUUCGGGCUUAGUGGCGCACGGGUGCGUAACACGUGGGAAUCUGCCCUUCGGUUCGGAAUAACAGUUAGAAAUGACUGCUAAUACCGGAUGAUGACGUAAGUCCAAAGAUUUAUCGCCGAAGGAUGAGCCCGCGUAGGAUUAGGUAGUUGGUAGGGUAAUGGCCUACCAAGCCGACGAUCCUUAGCUGGUCUGAGAGGAUGAUCAGCCACACUGGGACUGAGACACGGCCCAGACUCCUACGGGAGGCAGCAGUGGGGAAUAUUGGACAAUGGGCGAAAGCCUGAUCCAGCAAUGCCGCGUGAGUGAUGAAGGCCUUAGGGUUGUAAAGCUCUUUUACCAGGGAUGAUAAUGACAGUACCUGGAGAAUAAGCUCCGGCUAACUCCGUGCCAGCAGCCGCGGUAAUAGUACGUGA